ACGCACGCUGGCGGCGUGCUUAACCCAUGCCAGUCGAACGGAAAGGCCCUGCUUUUGUGGGGUGCUCGAGUGGCGAACGGGUGGGUAACACGUGAGUAACCUGCCCUUGACUUUGGGAUAACUUCAGGAAACUGGGGCUAAUACCGGAUAGGAGCUCCUGCUGCAUGGUGGGGGUUGGAAAGUUUCGGCGGUUGGGGAUGGACUCGCGGCUUAUCAGCUUGUUGGUGGGGUAGUGGCUUACCAAGGCUUUGACGGGUAGCCGGCCUGAGAGGGUGACCGGCCACAUUGGGACUGAGAUACGGCCCAGACUCCUACGGGAGGCAGCAGUGGGGAAUAUUGCACAAUGGGCGGAAGCCUGAUGCAGCAACGCCGCGUGCGGGAUGACGGCCUUCGGGUUGUAAACCGCUUUCGCCUGUGACGAAGCGUGAGUGACGGUAAUGGGUAAAGAAGCACCGGCUAACUACGUG
rnacentral:rRNA from 1 species